UGGCGGCGCUCGAUGGGCAGAAGACGGUGGGGACAUCCCUGAGUGAGCCUACAUUAAACUGGGCUUUGGAAGUGUGAUCGGGAAUUUCUGUAUCACGGCAAGUCUUGUCUGGCUGGAGGUGGCCCCAAGCACGGGUCAACCCAAGUGGCUCCUCCCCGCUCGUUUGCAAGGUCCCCGAAGUCCUACACACCUCUGAUGCCAUGCUGGGCGGUUCCUCCUUCUCCUGGAGCUUCGGUUCUAACGAUCUGGAAAACAAGAUCAAACUGACCACCUCGACUCUGCAGGUCUGCGGGGCAGGGACAGCUCAGAGUUGGGGACACACGCUCGGCUUGCGGGACGUGGGCAGCACUCAGCAAGCGCGCCACAGUCCUCGGCGUUCCCUCGUGCUUGUCCUUCUGUCCCACGCUCCCCGGACCUGGUCGAACAGACUCUCAGUGGACAGGUGCCUUCUGAUCUCUUCUGGCCUUUCCUGGCCCGGAUGGCGGCUGCUGCCCCUCUGCCUUGUCCCCGCCUCCUGGCAGCGUAGAGCCAAUUGGGAGAGGUGGGUGUGUCGCCUGUGGGCGAGACCGCCUCUGGCUGAGCUACUAGCCGCCAGAGGAAGUAUGGGAUUUUCAACCAGUUAGCUGUCGGCUGUUUGGAGGUUCAGACAGGUGAGACCCACGCUAGGAGGGAAGAAAGGUGAGAGGAAUGUCAUCCCAGCAGCACCCAGGAGUCCGAGGCAGGAAGAUGGCUGGGAGUUGCAAUCUGGGUUGCAAAUGAACCUGUUUCAAAGAUAAACAAAAAGCUGACACAGAGGCGGUGCCCCCAGCCCGUAAUUUUAAUUUCAGCACUUGGGAGGCAGAGUCAAGAGUCUCUUUCUCAUUUCAAGGCCAGUUUGGUCAACGUAGUGAAUUCCAGGCGGACUACACAUUGAGACCCUGUCUAAAAGCAGAGGACGAGCACAUGCUAAAUCAGACGUGGCUUUGUAUGGUGGUUGUGGCAGUGCAGGCCUGUAAUCUCAGCAUUGGGGAAAAUAAAGGCAGGAGGAUCAGGAAGUUUGCGGUCAUCCAGAGCUGCAUAAGCCAGCUCAAGGGCAGCCUGGGUUACACAAGAGCAAUUUAAAAACAAACAAACAAAAAGAUCGGUAGUCAGAGUAGGGAAAGAUAACUGCUAAAUGUUAAGCUACCUGUGCUAGCGAAUACCUGUGAUCUCAGCACUUGGGAAACUGGGCAGGAAUAUCAAGAGUUUGAUAUUCCUAGGCCCUUGUGGUUCUUGAUGUUCCUAAUACUGUGACCCUUUAAUACAGUUCCCCAUGUUGUGGUGCCCCCCAUCACCAUAAGAUUAUUUUCAUUGCUACCUCAUAACUGCAUUUUUGCUACAUUUUACGUAAUGUAAAUCUCUGUGUUUUCCAACUGUCUCGGACAACCCCUGUGAAAGAGUUGUUCAAUCCCCGAAGGGGUCAAGACCUACAGGUUGAGAACCGCCGGCCUAGAGAGAUGGCUCAGCCAGUAGACGAGCCAGCCACGAAAGCCUGGGAACCUAAGUUCGAUCCUGUGAGGCCCGUCUGUAAUCUCAGCACUUCCAACUCAAGACAGGAGAGACACUGGGGUCUCCAAUAGCUCAGGAUGGCUUGAAACUCAGUAUGCAGCUGGCUAGGAACUCGUGGCAAUCCCCCUGCCUCAACCUCUCCAGGGUUGGAAUAACAGGCUGAAAGCCGAAACAGCACGAAACCCAGGACCAAGGAGGAGCCCCGCCCGCCCUGCGGCGGACCCGGCGCGCAGCAAGCCGUCCCAGAGUGCCUUGCGGCACGCAGAGCGGCAGAGCGCCGUACGGCGGUGGCGCAACGUGAGGCUCGUCCCUUCCAGCGGCUGCACGACGAAGAGGCGGCAUGGAAGUGUAAGCGGCUCGUCCAAGGGA